GGAAAAGCUUCCAAAAACCCUGAGUGAUUCGAUCGGGUGGCUCUCCCCUUUGAUCUGAGACCAAACGCUGCCACUUUCUUAACCGUUAUGUGCUUUUACAGCUCAGUCUGUUCCUGGAAGAUGGCACAGAAGCAAAGGCCAAACCCAUAAAUCCCAGAUUCAAGUGACUGGCCUUUUAGAAAAAAUGGUUAAACCCUGCUGGAAGCCUCAUGAUGAUGGCGAUUCAAACGGACGAGUUGAUGGGUUGUUGUGGUCUAAGGAUCUGGGGCACCAUGUUUAUG
rnacentral:misc_RNA from 1 species